rfam:Caenorhabditis japonica strain DF5081 Contig15990.1, whole genome shotgun sequence.
GCUCAUACAGGCGCUUGCUUGAAUAGCUCAUCAUGGAAUAAUGAAACAGGACUUCGGUUCUUUUUGUUGGUUCUAGAAUUGAUCUAAUGGUUAAGAGGGACAAACCGGGGGCAUUCGUAUCAUUACGCGAGAGGUGAAAUUCGUGGACCGUAGUGAGACGCCCAAUAGCGAAAGCAUUUGCCAAGAAUGUCUUCAUUAAUCAAGAACGAAAGUCAGAGGUUCGAAGGCGAUUAGAUACCGCCCUAGUUCUGACCGUAAACGAUGCCAUCUCGCGAUUCGGAGGGUUCAUGCCCUACCGAGGAGCUACCCGGAAACGAAAGUCUUUCGGUUCCGGGGGUAGUAUGGUUGCAAAGCUGAAACUUAAAGAAAUUGACGGAAGGGCACCACAAGGCGUGGAGCUUGCGGCUUAAUUUGACUCAACACGGGAAAACUCACCCGGUCCGGACACUAUUAGGACUGACAGAUUGAAAGCUCUUUCUCGAUUUGGUGGUUGGUGGUGCAUGGCCGUUCUUAGUUGGUGGAGUGAUUUGUCUGGUUUAUUCCGAUAACGAGCGAGACUCUAGCCUGCUAAAUAGUCGACGAAUCUUCGGGUUCGUAUAACUUCUUAGAGGGAUAAGCGGUGUUUAGCCGCACGAGAUUGAGCGAUAACAGGUCUGUGAUGCCCUUAGAUGUCCGGGGCUGCACGCGUGCUACACUGGUGGAGUCAGCGGGUUUUUCCUAUGCCGAAAGGUAUCGGUAAACCGUUGAACUUCUUCCAUGUCCGGGAUAGGGUAUUGUAAUUAUUACCCUUAAACGAGGAAUGCCUAGUAAGUGUGAGUCAUCAGCUCACGUUGAUUACGUCCCUGCCCUUUGUACACACCGCCCGUCGCUAUCCGGGACUGAACUGAUUCGAGAAGAGUGGGGACUGUGGCUGCGAGGUUUUACCACUUCGCAGUUGCGGAAACCAUUUUUAUCGCAUUGGUUUGAACCGGGUAAAAGUCGUAACAAGGUAGCUGUAGGUGAACCUGCAGCUGGAUCAUCG